GCCAGGGUACCGAAGUAGUCAAACGGAGCGGUCUGUAAAACCGCUGGCGCAAGCCUUCGGGGGGGCAAGUCCCUCCCCUGGCACCA
rnacentral:tRNA from 1 species